GUAUUAUUGCCAAUUAGACAACUAUCUACAAACUAUAUUUGUGUUGUUUUGUUGUUUCUUUAGAUAAGAAAAAAAAAGAGGAUGCAUGUAUUCAUCAGUCUUUUCAUGGUUAACGAUCGUAUAGCGAGUGAACUUUGUUGGUGGGUUGCUAUUUUCUUCACAUUUUAACAACAUCUUGUAAUUAUACUGAAUAGUUAUUACUUUCAUACACAAAAACAAACAAACAUUUAGAUUUUAGAUCUAAUAACAAAUUGCGCUUUACUACUACGAUAAGGAAUAUAACUCCUCGCGGUAAACAAGUACCGUCUUACAAAUAAGCGUUUUUGUCAGUCAAACCCAACCAAUAUUACUG
rnacentral:lncRNA from 1 species